AACCUGGAUGCCGGCAGAGCAAAGAGGAGCUGACAGCACCAUGUGACAUGGCAACUCUCCCUGAACUACCAGAUGUGUUUGCAGUCUUCACUGUCAACCCUCAUUACACGAGCCAUCCAUUCCUCUGUGGUCUUCCAGAAUGCAAAGAAGCUUAUUCCUAUCAUCUGCUGAUGACCAUGUGAAUUCAUUUGGAUUAAUAUUGAACAGAUACAGAGCACAAUAUUCGUACCUAGAAGCCACAUAAUGCAUGAAAAUAAAGCAAAGGGACAGAGACCAGGUUAAGUGAAUCUAUCACUGCAUUUUGGAUACCUGUUUCUAAGUGUGUAAAACUUUUCUUGGGUUCAAAUUGUUACAGAUUCAAAAGGUAGGUCAGGUUCCCUGAAAUAUUUGAGUAUCUUUGGCUGUUUAUGUAUGGUUUUAAUCCCCAAUCCAGGGGGAAAAGUUCAGCCCCACAAAUUCUGUUUUAGUGGUUUGUCCAAACCUGAAACGGGGGAGGAAACUGUGUGGGUGCACAUACAUGCUCCUUUCACAGAAUAGCUUCUGCCUUCAGCUACAUGUCAGUAUUGCCUACCAGUAGCACCAUUUCAUUGGAGCCAGAGAGUUGUGGGUUUGAUUCAUCAUAAGAGAGAUGGUUCAUGGAGCACUAACUAUGAUUCUUGGCAGAAAAGUUUUUCUGUUCUUUUUAAAUACACCCUUAAAUGGAAGUUGUGUUUUUGCUAGAUGAGCAGUGUUUGGAGACAAUUCAAGAUGGAAGAUCUCAAAGGGUGAGAGCUACCCUAUGCUCUCUCCCUCUCAUGGAUAUUUUAUACUGGAUGGUUUGUUGUAUUCUAUAAUCUACAGUAAAAGUCAUAUACAUUGAAAGUACAUGUUUUGCUUUCUGUGUAUAUAAAACACUACAGUGGCUAUUGUCCUUUUGAUAAUCUGUUAACCAGUAGUUCCUUCUCCCUCUAUUGAGCGGCCAUCUAAUUGGAAGUUUAAAAUAAUCCUGUGGAGGGAUGGACAAUGAAAGAAAGAGCAACUCUGCUUUCUGGCCAGAAUCUGUUCUCUUAAUAACAGUUUUCUAAAUGUCCAAAGCUGUGAGCAAACUAUUGCUGAAUCCAUGUUAAUUGCUCAAUUUGUCUACACAGCCAUUGCACCACCAGCAUCUAAUAAAAGAACUUUGCAAAUUCACUGGUGUCAUUCGAAUACAAUGCA